UGUGUGUGUGUGUGUGUGUGUGUGUGUGUGUGUGUGUGCAGAUGUACUCGUCAGUCUGUGUGUUUGGGUGUGUGUGUGUGUUUUGUGUGCACAGGGAGCAGUGUGAAUGUUGUUUCGUUGCGUUACGUUAUCUUUGUUUUGUGUAGAGAGUCUCUAUGAUUCCUGUAUAUAUACGUCCUGGGCCCCUUCCAUCUGUCCUCUGUGGAGACGCCUAGGAGGGCCAUUAACGACCAGAAGAGUUUAACCGAGUGGAACUCCGUCUGUGGAUGAAACCCCCCUCAUCAGACCAACCUCCGACAACCUGUCGGUCGCAUAUGACUCCAGCCCACGGACCAUCAGAGAAAGACUGGUACAGAAUCUGGAGGGUGUCUUAACUUGUGACCCUCUGACCUUUGACCUCUUGCCCCACCCCCACCCCCCAUCAAAAGGGUUGCUAAAAAAGGGUUCUCUUAGGCAAGACAGGAAACUGACUUUGACUCAUUCAAGCAUUUCAGGUUGUUGUCGUCACAGUUUUUUUUACAGUCUAAAAGAAAAUCAUGUUUGAAACCAAUCCUGUCUGAUAAAGUACUACAGAAGACGGCCGAUACUGCAGUGUUUUUGUUGUGUCUACUCCGCGUGGGUACCAUACACUGUACUUAUCAUGCUAAUCUGCGCUGAUUUACUCAUCCAAUUACCUGAGUGAUUGUCGAUUGAUCGACUGAAACACAGUGUGAUGAAUGUCUGUCCUUUGCCUGCACUGACGUUGGAUCCCUUUAAAGUAAUUUGGCUGCACGGCUAACUCCAGGGAACGCCAUCAGACUGAGUUAUGGACUGUUUGGCUUCCCUGCGCUCAGUGCUGGCCGUUGGCCCAGAGCCGCUGCUCUGGACGCCACCACUCUGACAUUUGUGUCCCCGUGUGAAAUAUUGGGCUGGCUUCCCAUCUCCUCUUUGUGUGUUUUUGUGGUUGCUGGCCGGGGGAGCAGACACAGUGAACAUUGGACUGUGGAGGAACUUCAGUGACUAAGGGAAUUACGCGACGAAGAAGAGAAGAAAGUUCAGAACUCGGGCGUGGAGAAUCAAUUCAGGAGGAACGGACAAUCUUAAGAGAUAGUCUAAGGACUUUGACACACAUACAGUUUACUGUUCUGUGUUGUGUGUGUGUGUGUGAGUGCGUCUUUUCUGCUCAUAUCCCAAGCUUGUGAUAUGGUGCCAUCCUGGCAGGACCCCCUAUGGAGCUACAACACAUCUGUCUUUCUAACGUAUCGUAGCCUCAGGGUUAGCACUGCCUUGCAGCUUUUAAAGAGCAACUCGGAGCAUGAUGAAUGCAAACCAUUCCUGAGUGUGGUUGCUUACGUUAGCUUCACGCUACGAAUCGGAAGACAAAUAUGUGUCCACAAAACCAACAAGUCCAGCUGCAACGUAUGAUGACAUUAAAUGAGACCCUGUUUUUUAAACGAUGGCAACAGAUAAAAAACAAACAAGCAUGCAAAGACUAUGACAACAGCUCCACUCACUCAUUCUCCACCGGUUGGUUUCUUCGAAGGGAUCGUGUGAACUUUCCUUUAUUCCCAGUAUUUUUCUUGUGUUGGCUGAAACUAGGUCUUGAACCUGUGAACAGAUCUAUUCUAAAACCUACACUCUAUGUAACACUCUGGAAGCAGGCCAUGGUUGGCUUAUGCAAACUGAUGGAAUAUUUUUUCAAAACCAUAUAUGCAUGUUUACAGCGCCAUGUUGAAUCGUCACGGCCCACUCUGCAUUUUUGAGUGUCGGUGGUUGUCGCGGUGAUUCCUAGAACAACAUGGGGUUGGUCUAUGGAAGCUCACCUUCCAUCCAACCUUGACCUUCACCCGCUGGGCCCAGAUGUAGCUCUCACCUCCCCUACCGUCUGUAAGACGGGGGCAACAGCUGUAGACAAACAGCUGAUGGUUUGUGUGUUCUACAAAAACACAAACAAAUUGGAGAAUUCCAGGCACGCUAGAUAUAAAAAUGUAAUCAUGCCUUUAAGUCAUUUAUUUCUACUUUAUAUCUUGGCUGAAUCGACACACUUUCUACCUUCAAACCUCGAAACUCCCAGCUCUGCACCCCUGCGGUAUUGGUGGCCUUUCGGCUGCUUUGGCACCGUAACACUCUGUGGUGCGGACGGAGAGGAGGCCAGGGAGGAUGUCUCUGAACUUGUGUUGUUUCAGCCAAGGGCGAAAUAUUGGAGAUAUGGUUCUGCAAUCCAGGUGUUUUUUUUUUUGUGUUUGAAUUGCAGCAUUUUCUGUUUUUUUUGUGCAUUUUUUUAUUUCAGAUUUCAGAUGGCAGCAUGAACAUCACAGGUCACGUAAAGUUGAAAAGCCCUAAUUUCAUGGGAAACCCAGGAGAUGCUCUCCACAUGGACUUUGGGUUUGUACAUGUUGGGGCUUCAACCUAAUGAGCUUUACCUGUGAGCCCCUGCUGUGUGUGUCUGUGUGAGCGGGAAAGGUCACACGCUCCUUUGCAGAGUUACAUAAAGUGUAGGUGAUGAUUGGAUAGGCCUGUCGGAAAAAAGUAGGCAUGAUAUAUUUUUUACCCACGCUAUAUCCUUUUAACACCUCUACGUCUUGAGCCAAACGUCUAUAUUCAUUUCAAUUAAACCUUGAGUUAAAGUGUUAGGUUAUAGGUUUGGGUUUGAAACCCAAACCUAUAACCGCUGUCUUUUGCUGUCUUACCGCACAGCAAAACGAACCCCAGACAGAGGCAGUGAUAUACUGUAUAUACUCACACUAAACGUUGACAUUCAUGUAUGAAGUUGAGAUCCUUGGUUCCGGUUCAUUCCAGAUACCUACUCCUCGAAGGAAAUUCACUGUAACAACAAUUGAACUGAAAAACUAACGUAGCUUGUGUGUCCUUGGAAGAAAGGCUUAUUUUCUUAUGAGAACAAUCUUUAAAUCUUGUUGACCUGAGUUUUUAUUUACUUAAAUGUUUGAUUAUAUUAUGUUCAAUUUAAUUUGCUCAUGGAACCUUCGAUGUAGAGUUAGAGCUGCAUGUUUUGUACUGAAAUUCUAUCAGCUGUUAAUUCUAUCAGCUGCUAAUUCAAAGCUCACCUAAUCUUGACUGAAUGAAUUGUUUGGUUUGCGUCAUCUAUUCGAUCUGAUUCCAUUACGUCUGUGUGAAGAACAAGACAAAACCAGGUUCCUUUUGUUCUGCUUUGCCAAGUGUGUUAUUGCAAAAAAAGAUUGCUGUCAUAGAGGCCGACAUUUAUCUUGGGUAACAUUUGAUGGGAAUGGGAGGCAAUGCGAUUAAGAAUUCUCCAAGGGCAUCCCUGUGUCUCUCGCCACCGUCACUGUUGUCCGAAUGUCACUGUUGAUCGUGUCGUAUGGGUGCCAUCUUGUGGUGGAUAUGUGUAAUUACAUUGCAAAAUAAAUUGCAGUCGUUUCA